UAGGGAAUCUUCCGCAAUGGGCGAAAGCCUGACGGAGCAACGCCGCGUGAGUGAUGAAGGUCUUCGGAUCGUAAAACUCUGUUAUUAGGGAAGAACAAAUGUGUAAGUAACUAUGCACGUCUUGACGGUACCUAAUCAGAAAGCCACGGCUAACUACGUGCCAGCAGCCGCGGUAAUACGUAGGUGGCAAGCGUUAUCCGGAAUUAUUGGGCGUAAAGCGCGCGUAGACGGUUUUUUAAGUCUGAUGUGAAAGCCCACGGCUCAACCGUGGAGGGUCAUUGGAAACUGGAAAACUUGAGUGCAGAAGAGGAAAGUGGAAUUCCAUGUGUAGCGGUGAAAUGCGCAGAGAUAUGGAGGAACACCAGUGGCGAAGGCGACUUUCUGGUCUGUAACUGACGCUGAUGUGCGAAAGCGUGGGGAUCAAACAGG
rnacentral:rRNA from 1 species